UCUCCGUAGGUGAACCUGCGGAGGGAUCAUUACAGAGUUCAUGCCCUAACGGGUAGAUCUCCCACCCUAUGUUAUCAUCACUUUGUUGCUUUGGCGGGCCGUCAGGCCUCGGCUUGGCUACCGGCUCUCGCUGGUAAGCGCCCGCCAGAGAACCCCAAACCCUGAAUAUCAGUGUCGUCUGAGUACUAUAUAAUAGUUAAAACUUUCAACAACGGAUCUCUUGGUUCUGGCAUCGAUGCAGAACGCAGC
rnacentral:misc_RNA from 1 species